ACUCAUCAGUGGGAAAGGAGGCUGACCUACAGGGUCAAGGGAUACAAGUCUGACUUCCUCUUGCUAAGGAGGGGGUGCCUUAAAAUCUCCAUGUACCUUUACAGAGAUAAGAGCCCCAUAUAGCAGCUGCAUGCAUUCUGUCCAGCUCUUACAGUUGCGUUCAGUAGCAGAGACAGAUGCUCACUCUAUCCGACCUGCAGCCAGGCCCAACGAUCGAUUUUCGCCAAAAUGCCAAGGCAAUCCCGUGAGGAAAGGAUAAUCUUCCAACAAACGAAGCUGUGACAAUUGGUAGCCGUAUGCAAGAAAAUCAACCCUGACGUUUCCCUCAAAGCACGUGCUAACACCAAGUUAAAACAGAUCAUAAACCUAAAUGUGCGAGCUCAAAGUGGAAGCCUUCAAGAAGAAAGUGUGGUAGAAAAUCAUGGCGACCGUGGAUUUGGUGAAGAUUCCUGAAAUAGGACACAGAAGCCACAAAAUAUAAAAGGAAAAGAUCAAGCUGUGUUUCAUCAAAUAAAAAAUUUUGCUUUUCAAAAGACAUUCACGCAAGUAAAAAGGCAAGCCACAAACUGGGUAAAAGCUUUUGUAAAUGUCUCUCCAAAAGGGACUCGUAUUACUUUUAAGUCUACAAUGUAAUGACUCAACCAUUCUGUACAUUUCCCGGUGCUCAUUGAGGUUAAGUGUACUUGUAUAAUCUUAUCUCCUCCACCCAUCCUCCCACCCAGCUCUCCACUGGCAUCCGUCAGUUUGUCCUCUGUAUUUAAGAGUCUGUUUUUUGGGACUGCCUCUUUUUUUGUUUGGUUGUUCAUUUGUUUCUUAAAUUCCCCAUUUGAGUGAAAUCGUACGGUAUGUCUCUUUCUUUGACCGAUUUAUUUCACUUAACAUAAUAAUCCUCUCUAGGUCAUUCGUGUUUUUGCAAAUGGCAAGAUCUCAUUCUUUUUUUAUGGCUGAACUACACACACACACACACACACACACACACGCAUAUAUAUAAUCUAUAUAAACAAAUUGUAUACAUACUACAUCAUCUUUAUCCAUUUAUCUACAGAUGGACACUUGGGCUGCUUCCAUAUCUGGGCUAUUGUAAAUAAUGUUGCAAUAAACAUGGGGGUGCAUAUA